rnacentral:lncRNA from 1 species
CUUUUUUAACCUAUCCCCAAACCUAGAUUCCUUCCCAUUUUUUCUCUCUUGUCAAAGAAAGAAGCCCUGGAAAUCAUCUUCUCGUCUUCUUCCUUUUCUUCGAUGGAUCUGCAGGUUAAUGUACAGAGAGUGAGCACUCUCCGUGCUGAUAUAGAGGUAAAUUCAGAGAGACAAAUACAACUCCCACUCAACCGUGUCUCCUCAACGCUUCCAUUAGCCGUAGGUGUCAGCUUUGUAUGUGGACAUUGGGUUGGAUUUGAUUAAUUGGAUCUGUGUGGAUUCGGGGAUUUUUUUUAGGAAUUGGAUGAGAUGAAUAAGCGAUUGAAGGAGAUGGGAGAGGAGGCGGCCGCUCUGCGUGUAAUGCAGGCGAAAGUUGAGAAGGAGAUGGGUGCUGUUCAAGAUCUGUACUUUUCGGUUUCGCUUUCUGGUUCUUAUUCUGUGAUUCUCUAUUUUUUGGUUUUAAUUAUUUCCAGCUAUAUCUAAGUGGUAUAAAUGUGUUGGAUUUUAUGUUCUUGAGGAAAUUGAUUUUGAUUUUAGAGGGCAACGUGUUUUAAUUGGAAGUAGUUUGGGGAAAUUGUACAAGUUAUCUUCUUCACUGUUUUGAUGACUUUUUAUUUUUUAUUUUUGGUUAAAGCUACAUACAAAGAAAGGAUAUGGAGAAAACAUGGUAUCUAUGUUGCAUAAGAAAUGUAGAAGAAAUCAUGCAAUUACGCAUUUGAAAGGAAAAAAUACAAAUAUGAAAGGAAGAUGAAAAAAGUGCAGCAUCUUUAUUUCCUACAAAAACUCAGAAGAAUUCAAGCGUAGAUUAAAAGAUCCAUAUUUCGAUUGUUAGGAGGGAAAGAUUAACUAAUGUGGUUUAGUAGUCUUCAUGUAUGCC